CAGCCGCCGCGGGAAUACAGAGGGUGCGAGCGUUAAUCGGAUUUACUGGGCGUAAAGCGUGCGUAGGCGGCUUCUUAAGUCGGAUGUGAAAUCCCUGAGCUUAACUUAGGAAUUGCAUUCGAUACUGGGAAGCUAGAGUAUGGGAGAGGAUGGUAGAAUUCCAGGUGUAGCGGUGAAAUGCGUAGAGAUCUGGAGGAAUACCGAUGGCGAAGGCAGCCAUCUGGCCUAAUACUGACGCUGAGGUACGAAAGCAUGGGGAGCAAACAGGAUUAGAUACCCGUGUAGUCCCUGUCUCUUAUAA
rnacentral:rRNA from 1 species